ACAAUGAAGAGUUUGAUCCUGGCUCAGGAUGAACGCUGGCGGCGUGCCUAACACAUGCAAGUCGAACGAAGCGCCUUUUGAGAUUCUUCGGAUGAUCGAUCGGUGACUGAGUGGCGGACGGGUGAGUAACGCGUGGGUAACCUGCCCUGUACAGGGGGAUAACAGCUGGAAACGGCUGCUAAUACCGCAUAAGCGCACGAGGAGACAUCUCCUAGUGUGAAAAACUCCGGUGGUACAGGAUGGGCCCGCGUCUGAUUAGCUGGUUGGCAGGGUAACG
rnacentral:rRNA from 1 species